UCAGGCGUCGGGGAAUAGGGAAUAAAAGGUUAGGAGCUGGUUACUAAAAUGCACUCCUGAUUGACAGCACGCCCGCCACUGCAAUCGUGAAUAAAAUGGCUUCACAGAAGAUCCUGUCUGAAGAAAAUUAUUUGAGAUUUUUCUCACAUUCUUGCAGCACAGAGCUGUGUG